rnacentral:rRNA from 1 species
AAGAGACAGCAGUCGCCGCGGUAAUACGAGGAGUGCAAGCGUUAUUCGGAUUGAUUGGGUGUAAAGGGUGUGCAGACGGCUUAUUAAGUCACUUGUUAAAUUCUUCGGCCUAACUGAAGGUCUGCAAGUGAUACUGAUGAGCUAGAGGGUGGAAGAGAGAAGUGGAAUUCUCGGAGUAGCGGUAAAAUGCGUAGAUCUCGAGAGGAACACCAAUGGCGAAGGCAGCUUCUUGGUCCAUUCCUGACGUUCAUACACGAAAGCGUGGGGAGCAAACAGGAUUAGAUACCCGUGUAGUCCCUGUCUCUUAUAC